CCUACGGGAGGCAGCAGUGGGGAAUAUUGCGCAAUGGCCGCAAGGCUGACGCAGCGACGCCGCGUGUGGGAUGACGGUCUUCGGAUUGUAAACCACUGUCAGGGGGAACGAAUACCGGGCGGCGAAUAGCCGACCCGGGGUGACGGUACCUCCAAAGGAAGCACCGGCUAACUCCGUGCCAGCAGCCGCGGUAAU
rnacentral:rRNA from 1 species